AGAUAAUGAACAUUUGAAAUAAAGUCAGAAUUUGUUAAAGGGCAGAUGACAGUCAGCCUUGAGCCCUGAUGAUCCCAGGAUCCCUUCCAGUGGGAGAACUCUAAGUACCAGUCCAAGGUAUCUUUGGAGACUGGAUGUGCAGCUCAGUGGCAGAGCACUUGCCUGGCAUGUGAGAGGCCAUGGAGUCCAUCCCAGCACCACACACACAGAAGAUGUCUUUGACAGGACUCAAGCAUGAGAGGAUUCCAUGACAUCCAGUCAUCAUGUCUCCAUAGACUUCUCUUGGGGUGACAGUUUCUAUGAACUUCCUUGUUCUGAUGACCUUGAGAGCAUUGAGGAUGACUUGGCAGG